GCUUCCGUAGCCCAACUGGCAGAGGCGAUCGGUUUAGGUCCGAUUUAGUACGGGUUCGACUCCUGUCGGAAGUACCA
rnacentral:tRNA from 1 species